UGUGAUGUGUUAAAGAAGUUUUAAAAUUUUUACCUUUUCAUUGAAUUUUAGAAAUACAAAUUCCGUACAAAUUUGUACUUCUACACCGUGAUCCAAUUAAAAUAUUAAAUCCUUCUUUAUUCUUUGCCAUCUUAUUGUAAAU